AUUACUAACGCUGCAAUAUGAAAGUCGUCAGGAUGAGACUUUUUUUUUUUUGUCUAAUUAAUAUAAAUCAAACUUUGCUUCCUUCUCCUCUGGGUUUUGGUGCACGUACUGCAGCACUGCUCUGUGCACAUUGCGGACAACCUGGAGCUGAGCAAAGGUUCCCAACACUUUGGGAGCCCUCUGCUCACUGUUGCACACACAAACGUAGCGAGGCAAAGUCACCAUCCGCACAUCGGCCUUCCCCCACUGAGUGUACUGUAGCAAAGAUAGGUUUGGGAGCUCUUCGUUUCCUAUGGUCACACUAUGCAUGCGUGGAAAAUUAAUGCCAACGACAAAACCUCUGCAAGGACGUCAGCACCCACCUGGGGAGCACUGUAGUGAGGCUGUGGAUGUCAGCAGGGCGAGCUGCAAUACCACAGCCCGCGCGUUAAACGGGAAAUGAAACAGAAAUGGAAAUGAACGCCCGCAUCUGUCCCGUUUUUAAGGUAAAGGCAGAAAUCACCUCGUGUCUCCCAGUCCGGCCACGUUCACCCAAGGAAGGUGGGGAGAAGUCAAUGUCCAGGGAAAAUGUGCAACCAUCAUCUGCAAACGAAGAGUGGGAAAUCCUACGGGAUACGGUGAUGGAGCAAAAGGGGGGGAUGGAAAACAUCUGUACGUCGGUUGAGCAUCGGGAGCCUUUGUGCCCGAGUCGUUUUGGAAGGCGGAGGGGCAUCGGGACUUCCCGUCCCUCCCUGUGCCCUUCCUGUGUUGCGCAGCGGUCACAGAGAAGGACGCACCGGGGAGCGCUGGGCACAGCCGUGUCCCCGAAAUUUGCACCUGCAAAGAGGGAGCGAGCCAGGCGAGGGGAAUGUGCGACGGGAUGGAGAAAUAUCGAAUGUUUCUGGCCGUGUGCGUUGCCAGAGGUUUGCACAUUUUGUCUGAAAACACCCAGAGUUAGAGGCGGAGGGAAGGGAGGGGGGAUUUUAAUAAAAACCAUUUGCCACUUGUCUUCAAUUAGAGUCCAGACAUCGAGCAAUAAGGAAAAAACCUUUUCUAAAAUAUAUAUAUAUAUUAUUAUUAUUAUUAUCUCGCUAGCAGUCGGGCUGAAGAGGUAAAGGCGGUUCGCACGCAACGAUUUCAGGGCAAGGAGUUAAAACGAGCGAGCGAAUUCAGGCGUCGUUGUCGCCGUUCGUGCCGGCUCCUCCUGCCCCGGCAGCUCCCCGCCUCGCCCCGGCACACGCCGCGGAGCUUCGCACCGCUUCCCCGCACGGGAAGGGCUCCUCCGCCCGCGGACGGACCCCCGACGGCAGCCCCGGGGGCGCGGCCGCGAGCCGGGAAGCGGCGAAGCCGCACCGGAGCGGAGCGCCCUCGGCUUUCUGCUGCCGUCGGGGCAGCCCUCUCCGCUACGGGCGGUCGCGGAGUCGCCCGUCACCGCGUCCCAGGCAGGUGAUGGGCACCUCGGGAUGUGACAACACCCCCCCGAUAUUCCCCUGCAUCGAAGUGUCCGUGACAAAUAGAGGCAACGCGAGGAAGGAAAGGGGGAGGAGGGAGAGAAAGGCGCGCACACAAUAGCCAGGCAAAUUGUUAGCGACUCCGGCGUUCGGGGGAAGCCGGUCCUGGAACUGCGCUCUCAUCAGUCACCGCUCCUGAAGUGAUAGUAAAAAUGCAUCUAAACACGCUGCGGUGUGAUGUAUAAAAGCACAGCGGGAUGAGCUGCUUUCCAAAAAGGGACUUGGUGAUUGGAUAUGCCCUGGCAUGAUUGACAAGAGCUUAGUUUGGUAAAGAGAAGACACGCAAGCUUUCACAGCGGGAUUUCUUUUCUAAAAUAUAUCACACUAGCCUUUGAAAAGCGCCGCACACUAUAAGGGAAAUAAGGUUGCUUUAUAGUGCGCUGACAUUUCUUUAAAACACAACUAAGAUCAAAAAAAGAAAUAAAAUGUGUUCCAAACACAAUGUUUUAAUUAGUUUAUUCUGUGCGUUUGCUUUUAUCUGGUGUAUAUAUCACGGAUCCCCACCCUUUAAUUAAAACAACUG